GCGUCGGUGGUAUAACGGUUAGCAUAGCUGCCUUCCAAGCAGUUGACCCGGGUUCGACUCCGGCCGACGCA
rnacentral:tRNA from 3 species